AAAGCAAUACAAGGAAUUGAGAAUCACAGGACUUACAGAACAAGGACUAAAACAACCUGAGCCAAAAAUCAAUGUUACACACACACACACACACACACACACACACACACACACUGAGCAUUUCUAAUCUGAAAAUCUGAAAUUGGAAAACCUCCCACAUCUGAAAGUUUUUGAGCACUGACUUGACACCAAAAGUAGAAAAUUCCACACCUGAGAGGAUAGAUCCAAGAUGGCCAAUUAGUAGCAACUCAGGAUUCCAGCUCCCAGCGCGGAGGGUGAGUGGCCACCACAUUUCCAGAGGGAUUUUUAUGGUCCACAGACCAGGAGAUUCCCAGGUGGAGGAGCCCCACGGGUCGCCAGCAGGGCUGUUUCU